GGCUGGGUAGCAAAGCGGUUAUGCAGGGGCCUGCAAAGCCUUAUAGACCGGUUCGAUUCCGGUCCCAGCCUCCA
rnacentral:tRNA from 3 species